rnacentral:rRNA from 1 species
GACGAACGCUGGCGGCGUGCUUAACACAUGCAAGUCGAACGGAAAGGCCCAGCUUGCUCUGUGCUCGAGUGGCGAACGGGUGAGUAACACGUGGGUGAUCUGCCCCUCACUUCGGGAUAGGCAUGUUAAACUGGGUCUAAUACCGGAUAGGACAAACGUUUAACGGCAUUGUUGGAAAGUUUUUUCGGUUAGGGAUGAGCCCGCGGCCUAUCAGCUUGUUGGUGUGGUAAUGGCCUACCAAGGCGUCGACGGGUAGCCGGCCUGAGAGGGUGGACGGCCACAUUGGGACUGCGAUACGGCCCAGACUCCUACGGGAGGCAGCAGUGGGGAGUAUUGCGCAGUGGGCGCAAGCCUGAUGCAGCGGCGCCGCGUGGGGGAUGCCGGCCUUCGGGUUGUAAACCUCUUUCGACAGGGACGAAGCUUUGGUGACGGUACCUGUAUAAGAAGCACCGGCUAACUACGUG